rnacentral:rRNA from 1 species
GUCGAACGCUGGCGGCGUGCUUAACACAUGCAAGUCGAACGGAAAGGCCCUGCUUUUGUGUGGUGCUCGAGUGGCGAACGGGUGAGUAACCCGUGAGUAACCUGCCCUUGACUUUGGGAUCACUUCAGGAAACUGGGGCUAAUACCGGAUAGGAGCUCCUGCGGCAUGGUGGGGGUUGGAAAGUUUAGGCGGUUGGGGAUGGACUCGCGGCUUAUCAUCUUGUUGGUGGGGUAGUGGCUUACCAAGGCUUUGACGGAUAGCCGGCCUGGGAGGUUGACCGGGCCCCAGGGGCCUGCGAGACGGAGCAGAGUGCAACUGGAGGCAGCAGUGGGGAGUAUUGCACAAUGAGCGGAAGCCUGAUACAGCAACGCCGCGUGCGGGAUGACGGCCUGCGGGUUGUAAACCGCUUUCGCCUGUGACGAAGCGUGAGUGACGGUAAUGGGUAAAGAAGCACCGGCUAACUACGUG